CUUANGGUUGUAAAGUACUUUCAACAAGAAAGANAUAAUAAAAUUUAAUAAAUUUUAUUACUGACGUUACUUGUAAAAGAAGCACCGGCUAACUCCGUGCCAGCAGCCGCGGUAAUACGGAGGGUGCGAGCGUUAAUCGGAAUUACUGGGCGUAAAGAGCACGURNGCGGUAUAUUAAGUCAGAUGUGAAAUCCCUGAGCUUAACUUAGGAAUUGCAUUUGAAACUGAUAUGCUUGAGUUUCAUAGAGGGGGGUAGAAUUCCAGGUGUAGCGGUGAAAUGCGUAGAUAUCUGGAGGAAUACCAGUGGCGAAGGCGGCCCCCUGGAUGAAUACUGACGCUGAGGUGCGAAAGCAUGGGUAGCAAACAGGAUUAGAUACCCUGGUAGUCCAUGCUGUAAACGAUGUCGACUUGAAGGUUGUAAGCUUGACUUGUAGCUUUCGUAGCUAACGCGUUAAGUCGACCGCCUGGGGAGUACGACCGCAAGGUUAAAACUCAAAUGAAUUGACGGGGGCCCGCACAAGCGGUGGAGCAUGUGGUUUAAUUCGAUGCAACGCGAAAAACCUUACCUGGUCUUGACAUCCAUGGAAUUUAGUAGAGAUACUUUAGUGCCUUCGGGAACCAUGAGACAGGUGCUGCAUGGCUGUCGUCAGCUCGUGUUGUGAAAUGUUGGGUUAAGUCCCGCAACGAGCGCAACCCUUGUCCUUUGUUGCCAACGGUUCGGCCGGGAACUCAAAGGAAACUGCCGGUGAUAAACCGGAGGAAGGUGGGGACGACGUCAAGUCAUCAUGGCCCUUACGACCAGGGCUACACACGUGCUACAAUGGUAUAUACAAAGGGAAGCAUCCUCGCGAGAGUAAGCGGAUCUCACAAAAUAUAUCGUAGUUCGGAUUGGAGUCUGCAACUCGACUCCAUGAAGUCGGAAUCGCUAGUAAUCGUAGAUCAGAACGCUACGGUGAAUACGUUCCCGGGCCUUGUACACACCGCCCGUCACACCAUG
rnacentral:rRNA from 1 species